GGAAGAAACCAAAGACAUGAAUCUCAAGUUCACAUAUUGGUUGGGUUCUAUUGAAUACUUUUCGAGAAUUACUUUGGGAUCAAUAUUUUCAGCAAAUCUACUCUUCAAUACGAUAGAGCAAAUUGAGUUAGACUUGUAUCACAAGUUAUCACUGCGCCAGGCAAAAAAUGGUUUGUUUCAUCUUAGACAACCUGAAUCUGACGGCUUUGCUUCUUCUGAAUUCAACCCGAACCAUCCCUGCUAGCAUAAAAACAAGUUCGGGCAGUGAAUCAGGGAA